ACCAUUAAUUCUCCUGAGUUGUCAUUUCAAAGUCCAAUCUAUUCUAUCAACAGCAGGUUUUAAUGAUAAAACUUUCCUGCUUCCCUCCUUUGAAAAUCAGUUUCCCUCAAAUCUCUUCAAUCUGGGUUCCUUGGCUGGCAUCUCUCUAAAGCAAAGACAUGCCCAUCCAGUUCUUCUCCCAUCAGGAAUAUUGUUGUAAAUGGUUGACUUUACGGCUAAAAGGUUUUUGGUCAAAUCCCAGACCACCAGACCAGUCGCAAAUGUGGAACUGCUACUAUCGAACGCUGCGUCGAAAUAGACCGCCGUUCUUGCCAUAAGGCAUAACUGAAACAUCGACAUUGGGCAUCGUUACCUCUCUUGAGAACCCAGUCAUGAAAGAUAUGGAGGUUGUAUUCUUCCCAGGAACAACAUCGGGGGCAUCUAUCAUCUGAUAUUAUUCUUUUGAAUCGGAGAUUAACAAAGUUUGGAAUAAAAUCCCAGGAGAUUCUCCAGAUAAUGAUUAUAAUUUUAGGGGGUAGCUGUAGCCCCCAUAGUUUCUUGUAGAAUUCUUUCAUUUCGGUCUGUAUUAAAAAAUUCCUAAGAUCCAGGCUAGCAUUAUGUAAUAGUUUAUAAGCACUACGUACCGAGAA